GUCGCCCAGCCAGUAUGGCUAUGACCCUCGGCUUGUAACCGAGUGGGUUCGGGUUCGAAUCCCGAGUAAGACA
rnacentral:tRNA from 1 species